AUCCUACGGGAGGCAGCAGUGGGGGAUAUUGCACAAUGGGGGGAACCCUGAUGCAGCGACGCCGCGUGGGUGAAGGAGCGUUUCGGCGCGUAAAGCCCUAUCGGCAGGGAAGAAGGAGGACGGUACCUGACUAAGAAGCACCGGCUAAAUACGUGCCAGCAGCCGCGGUAAUACGUAUGGUGCAAGCGUUAUCCGGAUUUACUGGGUGUAAAGGGAGCGCAGGCGGCACGGCAAGCCUGAUUUGAAAGCCCGCGGCCCAACCGCGGGACUGCAUUGGGAACUACCGGGCUGG
rnacentral:rRNA from 1 species